GAUGAACGCUGGCGGCGUGCCUAAUACAUGCAAGUCGAGCGAACAGACGAGGAGCUUGCUCCUCUGACGUUAGCGGCGGACGGGUGAGUAACACGUGGAUAACCUACCUAUAAGACUGGGAUAACUUCGGGAAACCGGAGCUAAUACCGGAUAAUAUAUUGAACCGCAUGGUUCAAUAGUGAAAGACGGUUUUGCUGUCACUAAUAGAUGGAUCCGCGCCGCAUUAGCUAGUUGGUAAGGUAACGGCUUACCAAGGCAACGAUGCGUAGACGACCUGAGAGGGUGAUCGGCCACACGGGAACUGAGACACGGUCCAGACUCCUACGGGAGGCAGCAGUAGGGAAUCUUCCGCAAUGGGCGGAAGCCUGACGGAGCAACGCCGCGUGAGUGAUGAAGGUCUUCGGAUCGUAAAACUCUGUUAUUAGGGAAGAACAAAUGUGUAAGUAACUAUGCACGUCUUGACGGUACCUAAUCAGAAAGCCACGGCUAACUACGUG
rnacentral:rRNA from 1 species